UUCCCGGGCCUUGUACACACCGCCGUCACACCACGAAAGUUGGCAAUACCCAAAGCCGGUGGCCUAACCCGCAAGGGAGGGAGCCGUCUAAGGUAGGGUCGGAUGAUUGGGGUGG
rnacentral:rRNA from 1 species